rnacentral:rRNA from 1 species
CUUGGAGUGGCGCACGGGUGCGUAACACGUAUGCAAUCUGCCCCUAACAGGGGAAUAGCCCGGCGAAAGUCGGAUUAAUACCCCAUAACAAUACGAACCGGCAUCGGUAUGUAUUUAAAGCUCCGGCGGUUAGGGAUGAGCAUGCGCGACAUUAGCUAGAUGGCGGGGUAACGGCCCACCAUGGCUACGAUGUCUAGGGGGUCUGAGAGGAUUUUCCCCCACACUGGUACUGAGACACGGACCAGACUCCUACGGGAGGCAGCAGUAGGGAAUAUUGGGCAAUGGACGCAAGUCUGACCCAGCCAUGCCGCGUGAAGGAUGAAGGCCCUAUGGGUUGUAAACCUCUUUUGUACGGGAAGAAACCCUCCUACGUGUAGGAGGCUGACGGUACCGUAAGAAUAAGGAUCGGCUAACUCCGUGCCAGCAGCCGCGGUAAUACGGAGGAUCCAAGCGUUGUCCGGAUUUAUUGGGUUUAAAGGGUGCGUAGGCGGAUUACUAAGUCAGAGGUGAAAGUUUGCAGCUUAACUGUAAAAUUGCCUUUGAAACUGGUAGUCUUGAGUAUAGUUGAGGUGGGCGGAAUGUGUCAUGUAGCGGUGAAAUGCUUAGAUAUGAUACAGAACACCGAUUGCGAAGGCAGCUCACUAAACUGUAACUGACGCUGAGGCACGAAAGCGUGGGAGCAAACAGGAUUAGAUACCCUGGUAGUCCACGCCCUAAACGUUGAAUACUCGUUGUUGGCGAUAUACAGUCAGCGACUAAGCGAAAGCAUUAAGUAUUC